rnacentral:rRNA from 1 species
UACGGGGGGGGCAAGCGUUGUUCGGAAUUACUGGGCGUAAAGGCUCGUAGGCGGCCAACUAAGUCAGACGUGAAAUCCCUCGGCUUAACCGGGGAACUGCGUCUGAUACUGGAUGGCUUGAAUCCGGGAGAGGGAUGCGGAAUUCCAGGUGUAGCGGUGAAAUGCGUAGAUAUCUGGAGGAACACCGGUGGCGAAGGCGACAUCCUGGACCGGUAUUGACGCUGAGUGAGCGAAAGCCAGGGGAGCAAACGGG